ACGAACGCUGGCGGCGUGCCUAAUACAUGCAAGUCGAGCGGACAGAUGGGAGCUUGCUCCCUGAUGUUAGCGGCGGACGGGUGAGUAACACGUGGGUAACCUGCCUGUAAGACUGGGAUAACUCCGGGAAACCGGGGCUAAUACCGGAUGGUUGUUUGAACCGCAUGGUUCAAACAUAAAAGGUGGCUUCGGCUACCACUUACAGAUGGACCCGCGGCGCAUUAGCUAGUUGGUGAGGUAACGGCUCACCAAGGCAACGAUGCGUAGCCGACCUGAGAGGGUGAUCGGCCACACUGGGACUGAGACACGGCCCAGACUCCUACGGGAGGCAGCAGUAGGGAAUCUUCCGCAAUGGACGAAAGUCUGACGGAGCAACGCCGCGUGAGUGAUGAAGGUUUUCGGAUCGUAAAGCUCUGUUGUUAGGGAAGAACAAGUACCGUUCGAAUAGGGCGGUACCUUGACGGUACCUAACCAGAAAGCCACGGCUAACUACGUGCCAGCAGCCGCGGUAAUACGUAGGUGGCAAGCGUUGUCCGGAAUUAUUGGGCGUAAAGGGCUCGCAGGCGGUUUCUUAAGUCUGAUGUGAAAGCCCCCGGCUCAACCGGGGAGGGUCAUUGGAAACUGGGGAACUUGAGUGCAGAAGAGGAGAGUGGAAUUCCACGUGUAGCGGUGAAAUGCGUAGAGAUGUGGAGGAACACCAGUGGCGAAGGCGACUCUCUGGUCUGUAACUGACGCUGAGGAGCGAAAGCGUGGGGAGCGAACAGGAUUAGAUACCCUGGUAGUCCACGCCGUAAACGAUGAGUGCUAAGUGUUAGGGGGUUUCCGCCCCUUAGUGCUGCAGCUAACGCAUUAAGCACU
rnacentral:rRNA from 1 species